rnacentral:lncRNA from 1 species
GGCAGGACUCAGCCUGGAGGCCCAUAUUUCAGGCCUAACUCAGCCCACCCCACAUCAGGGACAGCAGUCCUGCCAGCACCAUCACAACAGUCACCUCCCUUCAUAUAUGACACCCCAAAACGGAAGACAAAUCAUGGCAUCAGGGAGCUAUAUGCCAGGGCUACCUCCCAGGGCUCAGUCGGCAGGUGCCAGAACAUUCCCUGGGAAGGCCCCAGGAAAACCCAGGACCGAGCCACCGCCCUCAGCCUGUCACCUUGUGUCCAAAAUUGGUGGGUUCUUGGUCUCACUGACUUCAAGAAUGAAGCCGUGGACCCUCGCAGACUGGCCACCUCUCUGGGCCCUCAGGGAUGCUGCUGUCCGGACCCCUGACCAGUGACGAGUUUGCACUCGGGGCCAGGCUGGCGCUGGAGGAGAACACUUGUUUGGCUCCAACCCUAGGAAGAAGAGGGAUCCAGCAGUGAGAUCAGGCAGGUUCUGUGUUGCACAGACAGGGAAACAGGCUCUGUCCACACAAAGUCGGUGGGGCCAGGAUGAGGCCCAGUCUGUUCACAUAUGGCUGCUGCCUCUCAGCUCUGCACAGACGUCCUCGCUCCCCUGGGAUGGCAGCUUGGCCUGCUGGUCUUGGGGUUGAGCCAGCCUCCAGCACUGCCUCCCUGCCCUGCUGCCUCCC